GCCAUGCAAGUCUCAGUACAUGCCUAACUAAGGUGAAACCGCAAAAGGCUCAUUAAAUCAGUUAUGGUUCCUUGGAUCUUAAACAGUUACUUGGAUAACUGUGGUAAUUCUAGAGCUAAUACAUGCAAACAAGUCCCGACCAGAGAUGGGAGGGACGCUUUUAUUAGAUCAAAACCGAUCGGCGUCCGGCUCCGGCCGGCGCCGUCUCUUUUGGUGACUCUGGAUAACUUUUAGCCGAUCGCACGGUCACAGUACCGGCGACGCAUCUUUCAAAUGUCUGACUUAUCAACUGUCGAUGGUAGGCUCUGCGCCUACCAUGGUUGUAACGGGUAACGGGGAAUCAGGGUUCGAUUCCGGAGAGGGAGCCUGAGAAACGGCUACCACAUCCAAGGAAGGCAGCAGGCGCGCAAAUUACCCACUCCCGGCACGGGGAGGUAGUGACGAAAAAUAACGAUACGGGACUCAUCCGAGGCCCCGUAAUCGGAAUGAGUACACUUUAAAUACUUUAACGAGUACCAAUUGGAGGGCAAGUCUGGUGCCAGCAGCCGCGGUAAUUCCAGCUCCAAUAGCGUAUAUUAAAGUUGUUGCGGUUAAAAAGCUCGUAGUUGGAUCUGUGUGCCACGCUGUCGGUUCACCGCCUGUCGGUGUCAACUGGCAUGUCUGUGGGACGUCCUGCCGGUGGCGGUACGGGCUGCCGGCGCUGCGUAGGGGCUCGCCCCCGAAGCACGCCGGCGUGUCCCGGUCCGCCGAUCCAAUCCCGCCGCGGUGCUCUUCACUGAGUGUCGAGGUGGGCCGGCACGUUUACUUUGAACAAAUUAGAGUGCUCAAAUCAGGUCGUAUUUAGGCCUGAAUACUG
rnacentral:rRNA from 1 species